GCUUGCUUCUCUGCCAUUUUGCCUUCAAACCGAGCUUUUUUUGAACUAAACGAUCAAUCCUCAAAUCUGGAGUUCUUCUUGGUGUAAUCUUAAAUCCAUCACAAACUCUUUAAAUAGACAUCGAUUCCAAUCACCAGAACCUAUUAUUCAUCACCGGACUUCCAUUUAUCAAUAACAACAACGAACCCUAGAAAUUCCCUCUUCUCUGUUCAUCAAUUACAUCUCCAAUUACUUCUCAAACCCUAACUGCAAUCUCGAAUUCAAACUAAACCCAUGUCUUACAGCCACAUGAACUCUUAGAUUCAUUCUUAAUCUUCUCUGAUUCCACUCAAUAAUCCAUGGCAGUGACAUCUAAACCCAUCUACGGUUCAUCAGUAAAUACUGUGUGAUGUCGAAGAAGAAGAAGCUAAAGGACUGAAGAAGAAGUUGAAGAACGGCGAGAAAAAACAGACAGUAGUCUGGAUCAAAAAAUGUUAUCCAGACAAUAGUUAGGAUCAAAAAUAUUUCGGAUGUACAUGUGUAUAUGGCAUGUAAGUUUACUACAUUUAUCCUUCACACAGUAUUACUGAUAGAGGCAGGGGAAUUCACUCGAAUAGAGGUCCAUUCCAGACUCUAACAAAUUGCGUUUAAAGCUUGCUUUUUGAGGGGGAUGAGAUUCAGGUCAUGCAGGAAAUGGUUGCAGGUGCAAAGAGUAGCAUAACAAAUAGUGGGUGUGAUUUUAGGUGUUAUUUUUUUUUUAAUCAUGUAGUACUCUCGGUCUUGAAUCAACAUCAAAAACUGAGAAUUGUAGAAUUUUGGUGUUUUCCCUUUCAAACAUUUUAGAAAAGACCAGAUGGAGAAUGGAAAAAUAGUUGAUUCCGUAAGAAGGUUCAGAAAACUAUAUUUCCCUACAAGUAGGUUUAGUGGGAUUCUUUUGCAUCCACUAAAUUUGAUCUGAUUUCUAUAUUGUAUUUUUUAUGUAUAAACAACUGUAUUUCUUGAGCAGACUACACUAUGUUGGUAAGUGUAUAUGAAUUCCAGCGAGUGCGAUUUUUCUCUCCCUGUUA